GAUGAACGCUAGCUACAGGCUUAACACAUGCAAGUCGCGGGGCAGCAUGGGGGUUGCUUGCAAUCCCCGAUGGCGACCGGCGCACGGGUGAGUAACGCGUAUCCAACCUGCCCUUCACCACGGGAUAACCCGGCGAAAGUCGGACUAAUACCGUAUGUUGUCCAUUGACGGCAUCCGAUUUGGACGAAAGGUUUGGCGGUGAAGGAUGGGGAUGCGUCCGAUUAGCUGGGCGGCGGGGUGACGGCCCACCGUGGCGACGAUCGGUAGGGGUUCUGAGAGGAAGGUCCCCCACACUGGAACUGAGACACGGUCCAGACUCCUACGGGAGGCAGCAGUGAGGAAUAUUGGUCAAUGGGCGUAAGCCUGAACCAGCCAAGUAGCGUGCAGGAUGACGGCCCUAUGGGUUGUAAACUGCUUUUAUGCGGGGAUAAAGUGGCCCACGUGUGGGUUUUUGCAGGUACCGCAUGUAUAAGGACCGGCUAAUUCCGUG
rnacentral:rRNA from 1 species